rnacentral:lncRNA from 1 species
GAUGAGAAUGGGGUGUUCAAAAGAGUCUGCUGUUUGUGUAUGGGCUUACUUCUGCUGAUUGGUUUGUUUGAGGAGUAAAUUUUUCUUCUUUACUUCUGCAGUCCUGUGUCUGUAGGGAAUUUGUAUAGUCGAUAGUGAAAGGGUGCUCAUCCACGCUUGUCUCCUAGUUGCAGGAAUCUUCAAAAGUCUCAUAUUUUGGCGCUUAUGCCCUUUCCUUGACAACUACCAUUUACUAUCACAAAUUUGUAGCCUCUCUCUCUCUCUCGUCCCNNNNNNNNNNNNNNNNNNNNUUAGUUAGCCUCUCUCUCUCUCUCUCGGCCCCCCUUUCCACACCACAAGUCUUCAUUGUCUUUUUGCUCUAAUUUUGAAUAUUUCACUUUCAAGUUUUUCCUUAUGUUUUAAAAUCUAGUUUCCAAGGUUUCCUGUUCUACAGUAUGUCAGGCAGCUAAAUAAGCAAUAUAGCUUGCUAUUGGCUAGGAUAGCAACAUUUGUCUCUUAAGCAAUCUAGUAAGAAUUAUUUUUCAUAUAAUCUGUUUUUUGUUGUUUCAUCGCUUUCCAGAGUUUCUGCAAGUCUUGAUUUUCGAUGAUAGGAUGAAAAUAAAAUAUCUUGCAUUGGUAAUUCUUCAUCAGCUAUAUGAAGUAGUUUUAUUGCCUUGGUGUAUGCAAACUUUGUGAUUUUUGAAAAGUUUUGAUUUCCUAUUGUUUUGCAAGAUCUGAGCCUAAGUAGUAAGAUUAGGAUUAAGUCUAUAAAAGGAGGGUGGCUAUUAUUUGUUCAGUUUUUGUGCAGAACCUCUAUGAAGUUCUUCAUGUCCUUGUUUGUUCUAUCGCAUUGUUCUUGCUAGGCUUGCAAACCUAUGUGUAAGGCCUAGGUUCAUGAUGGAGCAAGGCUACUAGGAAAGACACCUCCUCUCUUACAUUUUUCUUCUUUUGGUGUUUCACGCAGAACUAUCUCUUCUUCAGAAUUUCUUUCCUUGAGUUUUUUCUCAACCAUGGCUCAUAUUAUGAUAGAUUUGAAUCUGUUACAUGCCCCUUAUCUACCCAUGUAUGAUAGAUGCCAUGACCAAAUUAAUCUUCGAGUUUACAAGGAGUUGAGUAUCAGAGUUUCUCAAGAAAUUCCUGCAAAGACUAGUUUUUUGGUUGUCGU